GACGAACGCUGGCGGCGUGCUUAACACAUGCAAGUCGAACGGAAAGGCCCUGCUUUUGUGGGGUGCUCGAGUGGCGAACGGGUGAGUAACACGUGAGUACCCUGCCCUUGACUUUGGGAUAACUUCAGGAAACUGGGGCUAAUACCGGAUAGGAGCUCCUGCUGCAUGGUGGGGGUUGGAAAGUUUCGGCGGUUGGGGAUGGACUCGCGGCUUAUCAGUGUGUUGGUGGGGUAGUGGCUUACCAAGGCUUUGACGGGUAGCCGGCCUGGGGGGGUGAACGGGCGGGUGGGCAGGGAGGGGGGGCCCGGGCUGCUUCGGGAGGAAGGAGGGGGGAAUAGGGCAAAAUGGGGGGAGGCCGGAGUCAGCAACGCCGGGCGCGGGACGCCGGCCCUGGGGUUAUAAACGAGUUUACCCUGGGACGGGGGUGUGGGGAGGGUAAUGGGGAAGAAGGGCGCGCCUACCGGCUG
rnacentral:rRNA from 1 species